rnacentral:rRNA from 1 species
GAGUAACACGUGAGUAAACCUGGCCCCCGUGAACUCUGGGAUAAGGCCUGGGGAAAACUGGGGUCUAAUACCGGGAUAUGGCAACCGUAGACCGCAAUGGUUCUUUGGUGGAAAGAAUUUGGGUUCAGGGAUGGACUCGCGGCCUAUCAGCUUGUUUGGUGAGGUAAUGGCUCACCAAGGCGACGACGGGUAGCCGGCCUGAGAGGGUGACCGGCCACACUGGGACUGAGACACGGCCCAGACUCCUACGGGAGGCAGCAGUGGGGAAUAUUGCACAAUGGGCGAAAGCCUGAUGCAGCGACGCCGCGUGAGGGAUGACGGCCUUCGGGUUGUAAACCUCUUUCAGUAGGGAAGAAGCGAAAGUGACGGUACCUGCAGAAGAAGCGCCGGCAACUACGUGCCAGCAGCCGCGGUAAUACGUAGGGCGCAAGCGUUAUCCGGAAUUAUUGGGCGUAAAGAGCUCGUAGGCGGUUUGUCGCGUCUGCCGUGAAAGUCCGAGGCUCAACUUCGGAUCUGCGGUGGGUACGGGCAGACUAGAGUGAUGUAGGGGAGACUGGAAUUCCUGGUGUAGCGGUGAAAUGCGCAGAUAUCAGGAGGAACACCGAUGGCGAAGGCAGGUCUCUGGGCAUCUACUGACGCUGAGGAGCGAAAGCAUGGGGAGCGAACAGGAUUAGAUACCCUGGUAGUCCAUGCCGUAAACGUUGGGCACUAGGUGUGGGGGACAUUCCACGUUUUCCGCGCCGUAGCUAACGCAUUAAGUGCCCCGCCUGGGGAGUACGGCCGCAAGGCUAAAACUCAAAGGAAUUGACGGGGGCCCGCACAAGCGGCGGAGCAUGCGGAUUAAUUCGAUGCAACGCGAAGAACCUUACCAAGGCUUGACAUGUGCUAGAUCGCCAUAGAAAUAUGGUUUCCCCCUUUUGGGGCUGGGUUCACNAGGUUGGUGCCAUGGUUGUCGUCAGCUCGUGUCGGUGAGAUGUAUGGGUUAAGUCCCGCAACGAGCGCAACCCUCGUUCUAUGUUGCCAGGCACGUUAUGGUGGGGACUCAUAGGAGACUGCCGGGGGUCACACUCGGAGGACANG